rnacentral:lncRNA from 1 species
GAAAUAUUAUGAUGAGGAGACAUUCUGUGAAGAUAUUCAGAAUUUGAAGACGUGAGCACAGUUCGGAAAAAUCUUAGACCAAAGUAAAUAAAUCCAAUUGUACAUAAUACUAAAAUGACACAAGGAAAGAAUUCAUGUGCACUUAAGUAACCUUUAAAAAUAAAGAUGAUUUCUAGUGGGAGGAAAGCAAAAUAUGAAUUAUGAGAUUAAUGGCUUAGUGCAAAAAUGUUUGCUUUUCGUUUC